GCUGGAAGAUAAGGAGCACUUUGCGAGUGAUGGCUGGCUACUGAAAGAGCAAAUAGAAAGACUUUUUGAAAAUGGUUAAAGUUGAAGAAACUUGGAAAGGACUUAAAUAAAGCUCUUGUUUCCUUUCGUCUUUGGGAGAUGUUUAUCUACCGAUAAGACUUUUUUCCAACUGGCUACAGCUAGAGAUCUCUGAAGACCCCUACAUGUUUCAUUGCUGUCUUCAACAUUGAGAAAGAAAAAGAGAAUGAAGAAAUGUGCCGGGGGAAAAAAAGGAACUCUUGCUUCCAAGACAUAAGAGAGUGAAGGAAUAGAGGCAAAAUUUGAAGUUCUAAGACUGCAUAUAAUUCUCGUCAUGGCAGUGUUCAAGUGAUAAAUUGUUCACAGAAGCACUACUUGAUUAUGGUCCUUCAGGGACCCCAGACCUCCCAACACUGCUGAAGUCUGUGCAACAAUGACAGACCUCUUAGGAUGAUCCACCAGGGAGAGCUUAGACGGCCGCAAAUGGUUUCUAAGUAACCUUUGGGUAG